rnacentral:misc_RNA from 1 species
GAUGAAGAACGCAGCGAAAUGCGAUAAGUAAUGUGAAUUGCAGAAUUCAGUGAAUCAUCGAAUCUUUGAACGCACCUUGCGCCCUUUGGCUAUUCCAGAGGUCAUGCCUGUUUGAUUAUCAUGAACACCUCAACUCUCAUGGUUCUGCCAUGAUGAGCUUGGACUUUGGAGGUCUUGCUGGCCCCUGUGGUCAGCUCCUCUCAAAUGGAUCAGCUUGCCAGUGUUUGGUGGCAUCACAGGUGUGAUAACUAUCUACGCUUGUGGUUUUCCACCAGGUAACCUUCAGUGAUGGAGGUUCGCUGGAGCUCAUAAACGUCUCUCCUCAGCGAGGACAGCUUCUUGAACGUUUGAUCUCAAAUCAGGUAGGGCUACCCGCUGAACUUAAGCAUAUCAUAAGCGGAGGA